rnacentral:rRNA from 1 species
CAGUAGCCGCGGGAAUACGAAGGGGGCUAGCGUUGCUCGGAAUCACUGGGCGUAAAGGGUGCGUAGGCGGGUUUUUAAGUCAGAGGUGAAAUCCUGGAGCUCAACUCCAGAACUGCCUUUGAUACUGAAAGUCUUGAGUUCGGGAGAGGUGAGUGGAACUGCGAGUGUAGAGGUGAAAUUCGUAGAUAUUCGCAAGAACACCAGUGGCGAAGGCGGCUCACUGGCCCGAUACUGACGCUGAGGCACGAAAGCGUGGGGAGCAAACAGGAUUAGAGACCCCUGUAGUCCCUGUCUCUUAUAC